AGCAGCCGCGGUAAUUCCAGCUCCAAUAGCGUAUAUUAAAGUUGUUGUGGUUAAAAAGCUCGUAGUUGAACCUUGGGCCUGGCUGGCCGGUCCGCCUCACCGCGUGCACUGGUCCGGCCGGGCCUUUCCCUCUGUGGAACCCCAUACCCUUCACUGGGCGUGGCGGGGAAACAGGACAUUUACUUUGAAAAAAUUAGAGUGCUCCAGGCAGGCCUAUGCUCGAAUACAUUAGCAUGGAAUAAUAAAAUAGGACGCGCGGUUCUAUUUUGUUGGUUUAUAGGACCGCCGUAAUGAUUAAUAGGGACAGUCGGGGGCAUCAGUAUUCAACUGUCAGAGGUGAAAUUCUUGGAUCAGUUGAAGACUAACUACUGCGAAAGCAUUUUGCCAAGGAUGUUUUCAUUAAUCAGGAACGAAAGUUAGGGGAUCGAAGACGAUCAGAUACCGUCGUAGUCUUAACCAUAAACUAUGCCGACUAGGGAUCGGACGGUGUUAUUCAUGACCCGUUCGGCACCUUACGAGAAAUCAAAGUGCUUGGGCUCCAGGGGGAGUAUGGUCGCAAGGCUGAAACUUAAAGAAAUUGACGGAAGGGCACCACCAGGGGUGGAGCCUGCGGCUUAAUUUGACUCAACACGGGGAAACUCACCAGGUCCAGACACAAUAAGGAUUGACAGAUUGAGAGCUCUUUCUUGAUUUUGUGGGGUGGUGGUGCAUGGCCGUUCUUAGUGGUGGGGUGACUUGUCUGCUUAAUGCGAUACGAGCGAGACCUUAACCUGCUAAAUAGCCCGCAUUGCUCCGGCAGUGCGCUGGCUUCUUAGA
rnacentral:rRNA from 1 species